UUAAAGUUGUUGCAGUUAAAAAGCUCGUAGUUGAACUUCAGGUCUGGUGGGCCGGUCCGCCUCACGGUGUGUACUGGUCGACUGGACCUUACCUCUUGGUGAGCCGUCAUGCCGUUUAUUCGGUGUGGCGGGGAACCAGGACUUUUACUUUGAAAAAAUUAGAGUGUUCAAAGCAGGCUCGACGCCGGAAUAUAUUAGCAUGGAAUAAUAAAAUAGGACGUGUGGUUCUAUUUUGUUGGUUUUUGGAACCGCCGUAAUGAUUAAUAGGGACAGUCGGGGGCAUUAGUACUCACAUGCUAGAGGUGAAAUUCUUGGAUUUUGUGAAGACUAACUUCUGCGAAAGCAUUUGCCAAGGAUGUUUUCAUUAAUCAAGAACGAAGGUUAGGGUAUCGAAAACGAUUAGAUACCGUUGUAGUCUUAACAGUAAACUAUGCCGACUAGGGAUCGGUCGAUGUUAUCUUUUUGACUCGAUCGGCACCUUACGAGAAAUCAAAGUUUUUGGGUUCUGGGGGGAGUAUGGUCGCAAGGCUGAAACUUAAAGGAA
rnacentral:rRNA from 1 species